UUUGAAUAUUAGUCUAUAUUUAUUGUCUUAAGAUGAUCACAUAGAACUGGGACUGGCCCCCCUGUACCCAGUGCUAACAGUAGAAUACACUGCUGGCAUUAACAGAGACAAACCCAACACAUACACAGAAACAAAAAGCAAUAUGAGUUUGUAAUACAACAUAAUGCAUCUGACAUACAACAUAUUAGACCUGACAUGUCCAACAGUCUCAUCUGACCAUGGACCUAAACAAAGAUGUCAAAGAAAUGAGCCAACACACUAGAAUUAGGUGUCUGUUGAAGUUGAAUAAAUAAAACUCAAUUUUAAAAAAAGGUCCUAAAAUUUAAAAUAUUUACAAUGUAGAGUUUGAAUACAAUUGAAUGUAUCCUAAAACAAAGGUAUAUUGAGCUAUGAAAUCGCUAAUGUAAGUUGACUUCAGACACCCCAACAAUGUGUUCAGAAGUUUGUAGUAGCCUUGGAACAAAAUUACAUUUCUACUCAUUUUCUUGAAAUUUUCAAUGGACACCUUAAGAUGUCGAGAUAGACAAUUAGCAAUAGACAGAAUAAAUUAAAACUCUUUAUCAAACAGCAUUGUUCUCUUAACAUGCACAUAACUGUUACACACACACACAUCUCACAGGAUGGUCAACACAUUUUUGGAUUUCUUGCAAUUGUACAUUGUUUUGUUUCUAAGCUAGUUGUGUCCCUUACACCCCACUAUGCUGAGACAUUUGUGAAGUAUGAACAUUUUAUUUUCCAUGAAAAUCCGUUUCCAAAAUGUCAUGGAUUUUUGGCCUAAAAUUAGAGUUUGGAUUUGAACUCUUUCAAAGUUAGAAGUGGGACUUUAUACAAAUAGUUUUUGACACCAAUGGAGCACUAGUGACCUAGGGUAGGGGUGAUAAGAGUCCUCUAUCAAUUAAACAUUGCUCUAUGGUAGCUACAACAAAACAAACACUUGGAACUGGAUGGAAGAAGCAGUUGCAACAUAAGACAAUACAAGGAAGUGAAUUGUUUCUUUGGCUGGAGAUCAUACUUUUACAUAUACACAUAACCACUCUCACUAUCAAAUAAACACAAAUAAAGCUUUUUUGUUAAGGGGAAAUCACUCUACAGCUGGGGGAGCAAUGAAUGGGGGCUAAUGUUCAAAAUAAAUUAAAGAAAUACAUUCAUAUUACAAGUGUGCAGGUUGUUUAACCUACCUCCAAUACUGCAAACAAAAUGUCACAAACAAACAUUGUUUCAUGAAGUCUGUACAAAAGUUGAACAACUCAAAAUGUGACAUACAAGUUGAACAACUCAAAUGUCUCAUAAAAUGUUGAACAACUCAAAAUGUGACAUAAAAAUUGAACAAAUAAAAUGUGACAAUCAAGUUAAGCAACUCAAAUGUGACAA